CUUUUCUUGGUAGUUUUUGAAGUAUAGUCUGCCCGCUGACACGUUAGUUGAAGGGCCGCGGUAUUUUGACCGUGCAAAGGUAGCAUAGUCAUUAGUUCUUUAAUUGUGAUCUGGUAUGAAUGGCUUGACGAGACAUGAGCUGUCUUAGGUUAGGAUUGAAGUUUGUUGAAUUUGUAUUUUGAGUUAAAAUUCUUAGAUGUUUUUAUGGGACGAGAAGACCCUAUAGAGUUUUACAUUAGGUUAUAUGUUCUUUUGUUUGUUUUCCAUUAUUAUGUAACCUUUUGUUUUGUUGGGGUGAUGGGAGGAUUUUCUUUAACUCCUCUUUGUGUUGUUAUAUUGAUUUAUAUUUGUUUUGAUCCAUUUAUUUUGAUUAUAAGAUUAAAUUACCUUAGGGAUAACAGCGUUAUCUUCCCUGAGAGUUCUUAUUGGCGGGGGGGUUUGCGACCUCGAUGUUGGAUUAAGGUUUAUUUUUGGUGUAGGAGCUGAAUAGAUUAGGUCUGUUCGACCUUUAAAAUCUU
rnacentral:rRNA from 1 species